rnacentral:rRNA from 1 species
UGGGGAAUCUUGGACAAUGGGCGCAAGCCUGAUCCAGCCAUGCCGCGUGAGUGAAGAAGGCCUUAGGGUUGUAAAGCUCUUUUACCAGGGACGAUAAUGACGGUACCUGGAGAAUAAGCCCCGGCAAACUUCGUGCCAGCAGCCGCGGUAAUACGAAGGGGGCUAGCGUUGUUCGGAAUUACUGGGCGUAAAGCGCACGUAGGCGGGUCGUUAAGUCAGGGGUGAAAUCCCGGAGCUCAACUCCGGAACUGCCUUUGAUACUGGCGAUCUAGAGAUCGAGAGAGGUGAGUGGAAUUCCGAGUGUAGAGGUGAAAUUCGUAGAUAUUCGGAAGAACACCAGUGGCGAAGGCGGCUCACUGGCUCGAUACUGACGCUGAGGUGCGAAAGCGUGGGGAGCAAACAGGAUUAGAUACCCCCGUAGUCCCUGAGCGGGCUGGCAAGGCGCAU